AUCGAUGCCAGGCGUGCAGCUUCCUCUUCAACCUGUGGAGGGACAGAGAUAGGGGCCAAUAGCAGUCAGUAGGGAUUUUAACUAACAACAGCCUUCUAUCCUGCUUUGCAUGACCUCAUCCUCAGGCUGUAAUCGGAGGUGAAGAAAAACAGGGCAGCCAUCUUGGAUUUCUCAUCUUCGCCUGACAAGAUCCUCUGACUAAAGCAUUUCACUUGCCCUGGAAAACAUUCCAGGGUGACACAAUUGGUGACACAGGUGUUCUUUUGUCUGUCUGACCAUGGUGGAUCUCAGCCUGUCUACUUCUUCUAUUUAUUCUGAACAAAGGGCUUUAAGUAAAUUAAAAUAUACAAUUUCCUUUAUAAUCGAUGUGAUGUCUUUUUUUCUUUCUAAAAAAGAUCUUUUCUUUUUUUAUGAUUAGAAGGAAAGUGCAAAGGCCUAUUGUGCACCCCAAAUUGGAUUUGUGUACGAUGAGUAAACUGAUUUAGUUGAAAGACUCUCUGGUUUGCAGUCUGUACUUACUCUUCAUCAGUCUUUGAGAGGAAGACAUAUCCCCACCUUGACAGAGCAGCAGUGAGGACAGACCAUGGCAGGCAAAAACAGAGGAAAACAAACAAAAACAGAGGAAACAGGUGGAGAUGGAGCCGAUGAAAGAAAGAACAUGUAAACAGAAAUGUACAUUAAGUGGUUAAUUGGGGAAAAACAUGAACUUCAACAGCAUUAGUAUAUCCAUUUUUUUUG